CUGAUGGGAAACCACCAUUGGAAGACAUCCUUGGGGCAUUCAUUUAUGAGACAAGAUCACGCUUCAACAAAGAUGAAUCACGUUUGGAUAAUAUUGAAACACAUGUGUCCAACAUGGGAGCCACAAUGAAGAAUCUUGAAGUGCAAAUUGGCCAAUUGGCUACCUCAAUGAAGUCUCAGCAAAAAGGAAAAUUUCCAAGUGAUACAGAGGUCAAUCCAAAGGAGCACUGUAAAGCUGUUGUAUUAAGGAGUGGCAAGCAAGUUGGAGAAAGUGAACUCACUGAAGAUAGCAACCCCACACCUGAUAAGGAGAAAGAACAAGUAGUAGAAGAGCAAGAAAAGCAGGCCAAAGGAACAAAUAAGGCCCACAAACCUUACUCCGUAUCCUUCCCUGACAACCCACCAAUUCUCACACCACCACUUCCAUUUCCACAGCG
rnacentral:lncRNA from 1 species